UACGUAGGGUGCAAGCGUUGUCCGGAAUUAUUGGGCGUAAAGAGCUCGUAGGCGGUCUGUCGCGUCUGCUGUGAAAACUCAGGGCUUAACCCUGAGCUUGCAGUGGGUACGGGCAGACUAGAGUGCGGUAGGGGAGACUGGAAUUCCUGGUGUAGCGGUGAAAUGCGCAGAUAUCAGGAGGAACACCGGUGGCGGAAGGCGGGUCUCUGGACCGUAACUGACGC
rnacentral:rRNA from 1 species